CCGCUGAGUUUAAGCAUAUAAUUAAGCGGAGGAAAAGAAACUUACAAGGAUUCCCCUAGUAACGGCGAGCGAACCGGGAAGAGACCAGCAUGAAAAUCGGGUGGCAGCAUCGCCAGAAUUGUAGUCUGUAGAAGCGUCCUUAGCGGCGGACCGGGCCCAAGUCCCCUGGAAGGGGGAGCCUGAGAGGGUGACAACCCCGUUGGGCCUGGACCCUGCCGCACCACGAGGCAUUGUCGGGGAGUCGGGUUGUUUGGGAAUGCAACCCUAAUCGGGUGGUAAAUUUCAUCCAAGGCUAAAUACGGGCGAGAGACCGAUAGCGAACAAGUACCACGAGGGAAAGAUGAAAAGGACUUUGAAAAGAGAGUUAAAGAGUGCUUGAAAUUUUCGGGAGGGAAGCAGAUGGAGGCCGUCGAUGCAUCUCAGUCGGAUGCGGAACGGCUCAAGCUGGUCCGCCACUCGACUCCAGGUGCGAACAAGCAAAGGCCGUUGCAUCGGCACAAGCACGGGUGGAGUACUGCCUGUUGGUUUGCCAUUGUGGCGGUCGAGGAACGAAGUGUGCGCCCUUGGGGCGGG
rnacentral:ncRNA from 1 species